rnacentral:lncRNA from 1 species
CUAGCUAUGUGGCUCAACCGUGAUGUUCGAGUAUGGAAUGAUCAAGGUCAAAUUAAGUAUUCCUAAAUGCUUAGCUGAUUCAAAAAUAUAAGCUAUCGAUGUAAUAAAUUUCAAAGAAAAAAAGAAGUUAGUACCCGUCUUCUAAGACCAUUCCUUCCAUGUAUGCAACUUCUUUAAGAGCCUUCCUCCACCCCUCCACCUUCUCCAUCUGGUCCUUGAAACGUAUCUCAUGCUUGGCAAGCUCUUCACCAUACCUCCCUGUUUGGGUCCCCACCUCAGAUGGAUCGACAUCGUAGAAAACUGGAAACACUAUGUGCCCAACAGUUCUUCUACGUUCCAUGAUCAUCGCUAGCUCGUCAAGACACCAUCUCGAAGAAGCGUAGUCUUUAGAAAACACAAUAAUGGAUAGUUUUGUUUCGUUAAUUGCUUUCUUGAUUUCUAAAUCAAUUUUCUCUCCUCUCCGGAUCCCAUCGUCGUCUCUGAAAGUGCGAAUCUCUGCUCUACAUAGAGCUGUGUAGAGAUGGUCCGUAAAACUUCGACGGGUGUUUUCGCCUCGGAAACUCAAGAACACGUCGUAAGUACUGGGCAUCAACGAGAGAAGAAUCAAGAUUUGGGUCACUGGGUUGAAAGCCAUCGGUUUGACAAAGAGAAGUAUGUCGAAAGAAACAAAGUUUUUUGUGUUGGAAGAGAUGCAGAUCUCACUUGAUUCUUUGUUUGAAGAAAGAAGAGAGGCAAAAGGUUUUUUUUUUUUUUUUUAAUCUGUUUAGGAAGUUUCUUCGUUCAUGUGCUUUUUUUGUAUGGCUGCGGUCUGUCGAUAUGUAAAACGUGGACCUCUAAAGUUUAAAGAAGUGAUCUAACUAUGAUUAAACUAUACUAAAAUAUAUCAUGUAAAACUAUACUAAAAAGUUACUUUUUUUGGUCCCUAUUAUUCUUUUAUAUGCAUGAUCAGUCCUAGGGAUUGCUCCUUGACAAUCGAUAAACACAACAAGAAAGUGCUGCACAACCUUUGGAACCAAGAACCAAUCAAAUCUGGUCUUGAAAGGUGCUCACAAUUACUAAGACUGAACUAUUUUAAAUCGAUAAGAUUCGUGUUUCCUUUCUAGAUGAUAGCUAGGUUAAAUUAUCCAGAAAAAAAAUGGAAGGCAAAGAUCUGAAAAGGUAAAACAAUUAUUCAAUUACUCAUAUACCUGUCUUGCUGCAGCACCAUUCCUGCCAGGUCUGCGGCUUCUUUAAGAGCGUCCCUCCAACUUUUCACUCUAGCCAUUUCCUUAUGGAAGCUUUUUUCGUGUUUAGCAAAUGCUUCUUCAAACAACCCUUUCUGUUCACUGACCUCCGACGGAUCAACGUUGUAAAAAACGGGAAGCACAAGGAGCCUAGUUUUAUCCCUGGCAUCCAUGAUGUGCACAAGCUGCUCCAGGCACUUUGUUGAAGAAGCAUAGCCUUUAGAGAACACAACAACCGAUAUCCUGGAUUCCUGUAUCGCUUUCUUGAUAUCAGACUUUUGUCCUGCGUAGAUUCCACCAUCAUCUCUAAGAGUGCGAAUCCCAGCAGAAUUGAGGUCUUUGUAGAGAUGAUCGCCAAAAUUCUUGCCAAUGUCGUGGUGGCUAAAACUCAAGAAAACAUCGUUAUCCUUUCUGGAGAGGAGAAGCAUCAACAGAUUGAUGAGUGAGAACAAACCCAUUGGAUGGUUGGUGAAGAAAAAAUGCCGAAAUUAAACUGGAGUAUGAGAAAGAUGGAAGUUUCCGAUGGGAAUGGGUGAAACGGCAACGACGGGAGGAUUUUCAGGGCACCCGGAAGGGAAUAAAGAAAACAACUGUUCAGGUUCCCAAAUUUGACCCGUUUGGUUCACUAAUAAUGACUAGCCAUCAAUAUUGACCAAAGUGCUUUUUUUUUUUUUUUAUGUGUCUCCUGUUUGAAUUUUGAUGAGCGCUAAUGGUGUACAUCUGAACGUGCUUUGUUUUGUUUUAAAAAAGAAUCAUUCUUCAAUGGUUUUGUUUGUUUUUUUUGUUUUUUUGAAUUCAAUUCUCUAAUUAGGAAUUAAUUUUGUAAUUUAAUUUAAUUUAAUUUUUAUGAAGUUAUUUCUAAUCAUGGAUUUUCUAGAGUUUUAAGUGAUUAAAUGGUGUUUUUGUUUGAAAAUAGACUUUAUGAGGUUUUAUGAUUAUUUUAAAAAAAGUUUUGCAGGUGAAAAUGAAAAUUGAGUUUUAAAAUCCCAUUGGAGUGGUCGGUGAGUAAGAAAUGCCGAAACUAGAAGGAUGGAAUUUCCCUAUGCGAAUGGGGAGACACGGAAACGAUGGGAAGACUUUUCAGGUGUGAUCCGCCACCUGCUGGUAAUUGAAAGUGGAAGCAAGAGAGCGAGGUGAGGUCUGGAACCCUACUGCGAGAGGGAAGCCUCGUGGGCCAAAUUAGUGCGCACGUGGCCCAGAUUUGAUAUGUUUGGUCCUUUUCUGUCGACCCAAUUAAUAUUGAUCGAGACUUGGGUUUCUUUUGAAGAAACAGGGCCUGAUAGUUCAUCAAGCGGAAAAUCAAAACCUGGAGCAACAAUUACUUUUUAUAUUUAUUGACACUUUAGAUUUCAAUGGUGAUUAAAAAAAACAAAAGUGGUUAUUGAAUUUAUUUUUUAUUGGUAUAGUUAAACCUCUGUUUUUUUUUUAGCAUCAAUUAAAAUCCAAUUGCAUAUUUUAUUUUAUUUUUGAAGAGAGUGUUGAAUUGAGAAACAGGGUAUAAAAGUAAAAAAAACAUAUAAAAUAGGUAACAAUUUUGAAUUUUUUUAAAAAAAUUCAUUUUAAUCCCUCUUUUUUUUUAUCUAAUAGGUAAUCACUCCCUCAAAAUUUUAAAAAUUCAAUCUUGGCUUAAAACUUUAUUUUUCUCUUUCGGUCAUUUUUUUAUGGAGAGGGGGGAUUAUGAGAUUCCAAUAUGCAAAGAAAAUUGUGAUUGAAGAUGAUUUUGAGUACCAAAAUAAUUGAUUUUGAUGUUAAAUGAUUCUAUAUAAUAACAAAAAGUUCAAAUUAAGUGUUUUUUUUACCGGGAAAGCAUCUAAAAAAUCCUAUAUAAGCUUAGAAAUAUUUUAUUUUUAUUUCAAGUUGAUUAUGGGUUUUUGAGUAACUUUUUUGUGUUUUUUUUAGGCUAUAAAUUUAUUUAACAAGAUUUCUAAAAGGUUUCUAGGAUGUUUAUAAUUGUUUUGUAUCAAAAAUAGAAUGAAAAUGGGUUUUGGGUUCAGAAAAAUAGAACGUCUUCCGUAACCCUCUCCAUCUCAACCUGGAAGCCUUUCUCGUGUGAAGAAAACGCUUCAUGAUAUCUCCCUUCUUGGUUCCUAACUUCCGAUGGAUCCAAAUGGUAAAAUAUAGGCAGCAAAAUGUGCCCAGUAGCUCUCCUAGUCUGUUUUGAGCUUUUGUUUCAGCUAGUUCUAGUUUUAUGGAUGUAUUUGUGCAACUUCACCGGCUUAUAUACGAUAAAUUAUUUGGCGAUACCAUGAUUUCUAGCACUGGUGUUUGUGAUGGAUAUACCAUCAGAAUGUUUAAGUAAUCCUAAUGGUAGGAUUGAAAUUAUUUGGUUGGUCUUUUCAAAAGAGCAUGAAAAUUAAAAAUAAUUACAUUUGACUUGAGGCUAAUCUGACAAACCAGGCCUUCUAUAUCUACCUCAGCUCCUAGUUUCAGUUGCUGUUUAAAUAACUUUUAAGUUAGAUGAUGGUGCUGUUAAGUUAUGGAUAAACAUGUCACACAAUUAUCAAUAAUUUAGAGAAUAUGAAGCAAGCAAGAAGAAUUCUAUGGAUGUGUUUGGAAGAUGCCUAAUGAAUGGAGAGACAAUACUACCUUGCUCAUCCCUACUUCAAUUGGAUUAGGAAAGAGUUCUACAAUGACGAGUGCACUUAUGUAGACCACUUUAUCUUUUCUUUUUUUUUUUUUAAAGAGACACAACGCUGUUUGUGAUUAUAGUUUCAAUAAUGAAAUCAAGACAGAGUUAGGUUUUAGUAAUGAGAUUACUAGCAGUCUCGCACCAUGAUUAUUGAAGUUAAGGCUUGUAAGCAAAUUGGAAAGAAAACAAAAAUGCAGUUUCUUAUAAAUGUUUUAUAAAAUAUUCUGAGAGAUUUAUUUCAUCUGUGUAUUUUUAGCGGGAUUUUUUUUUUGUAUGCAUUUUUCACCUGUAAAAUCAUUAAUUUUUAAUUUAUUUUUUUUUAUUGACAAAAUUAGCGACAGAACAUUAUACCAAUGGACAUAUUUUAUCGGUGAAUUAGUAGGUAAAAUUUUCACCGAUAAAAUGAUAAUCUUGCACCGAUAAAAAUAUUUUAUCUAUAAAACUGUUAAAUGUUGCGGUGUUUCAUGGUUUUCUAUCAUCAUGAGAUCUCUUUUCUUUGUGAAAGCCAAUAGCUUCAGGUAUAAGAAGUGCAGCAGUCUAGGAUUCCUUCACCCCAUAUUGCUUCAUUUCCAUCUUCCUAGAAUAAAUUCCAGCCCCAAAACUAAUCUAAAGCUUCAUCGCACGCAUCCUAAUUUCUUAAACAUGAAACAUAUAACUGGUAAUUGCCACAAUAAUAAGCCAAGUUGAGAUUUCAAUCUAAUGUGAAAGUCUUCCAGUAACAACCGCAAAAGCAUGGAAAGCAGUAAGGAUGCACAGAUGUCCUUAUAGAAUAAAUUUAUUGUUUCAUAAUGUCUAACAGAAAAGAGGCAACAAAAAGGCUGGGAUAGCUCAGUUGGGAGAGCGUCAGACUGAAGAUCUGAAGGUCGCGUGUUCGAUCCACGCUCACCGCAUUUCUCUCUUUUUCGAUUUAGUUUCUUAAUAACGUCUUUUCCCGCCAAUUUCAGUUAGCGAAUCUCUCCUGUUUCCAGCUCCUAAACCCGAGCAGUGACAAUUCCAUCAAGAACAGAAACAAUCCAGUCACCUGAGAAACAUUGCCACCGCGGGCAGCUUGAAGGUUCACCAAUAUUCCGCUUCAAAUCAAGCACAUGAUCAAACUUUUUCUUACCAAGUUUCGGAGAAUCUGGAGAAACAAAAGACAGAUGGAUUAUGCACCGAGGAGUGGCGGGACAAAGAUUUUGAGGGUGGUAAAGUGUAUUUGGCAUGUUGCCCCCAAGUUUCGGAGAGCCAGAGCAGUGCUGCUGUUCCUGCUCUUGAAUUUUGCCUAGGCUUUUGCCAAUUUUGCUUAGUGUUCAUAAUCUGCGUUGUUGAAACUGAAGAUUUCUUCUUCUUCUUCUUCUUCUUUUGAAGUUGAUUCUAAGCUUUGAUCCGGACUUUGCGGUUUCAAAUGAGAAGGAAGCAAUCAAUAAUGGACCAUCCCUACUCUUCUUUGUUUGGACUUGACAAGUAGCAAGGGAUGAAGGAGGAGGGACAGCAAGCUGCUUAUGGUCACUUUGGAAGGGAUGACCCUGACUUUACAAGGGAGGUUGUGAAGCCCCUGAAAUACCAGAAGCCCCAAGUGUAAAAUCAUGACAUGCAUGGCCUGUAAUCAAUAAUUUGCUUGUUCUAGCCAGCAGCUCGAAAACCCGAGAGUCUUCCAGUUGUUUUCUUGCCUUUUCUGCUUAUUUAUUUUAUUUUGAAGGUUUUGUAUGUUUUUUCCAUACAGUAUUAGUGUAGUUUUGAGUUUUAGUUAAAAACAAGAAGACGGGUGAAGAGCUGCCUUGUCACCUUGAAACUUCAUGAGAUUGCAAGUAGAGAACACGGAUGUAACACUGUAAAAGGACGAACUGCAGAAAAAAUGAAUUUCAUAGUGGAAGAAGAUGAUUGUUCAACUUGCACACUUCACCAUGUUUUGUCUGCCUUGUUCUCUUCUCACAUAGAUUUUCUUCAAAAACUAAUGCAAUGUUCAGGUACAACGAGAUGACCUUGCUUGAACUAUCAUCAUCUUUCUACUCAGCUGCUAAACUCUCUUGUCCGAAGCAUAGAACCAAAAAAGUACUCUCUGAAUUCAAAUGAUGAUACAGCAGGAUUUUGAUUGGUUGAUAAUGAGUAAAUGUCUCUUUUCUUAUAAGCCAAAGAAGUUCAUAAUGGCAGAGGAAGCAACCUAUAAACUGAACAGAGAAAGGCACAGAACCAGCAUUGACGAAGCUAUAAAACCUCCAGAAAUCUCAAAGACUUGAUAUGAAUAACUUGGAUCACUUAAGUCACGAAUAUCAAAAAGAGCAAUCCCCACGAGCACUUCAUAACAAUGAAGAAAAUAUCAGUAAAAUGAAAUGAUUGUCUCAAAAGUUUCUACACUCUGAUCAUUAAUUUUCUUGGUUCCGUUUCUUUUCCUCACGCGCACACAUCAUAUUUCUUGAUGUGAAUACCUUAUCUAUUAUUUUUUAAAAUUGUUUCGUUAAUCUUUGUUUAAUAGUAAUUAAUUUUUAAUGCUAUUUUUUUAAUUUCAUAAAUCUCCAAAGAGAUUAUUGUUAUUUAUUUUUAUUUUUUUCAUUUUUCAUUUUAUAUAAAUAAAUUAUAUUUAUGUGACAUAUUUAUAAAAAUAAAAAAAAGUGUCCUUGGUUGCUAGAAUCAACUUCUAACAUAUAAUAAAUAAAUAAAAAUAGAAAAUACAAAGAGUAUUUGCAUGUGCAUUUAUCUUUUACUUUAUUGAAAAUAUUAGCUUUUCAUUUCAGUAUUUAAUUAGCAUUAACAAUUAUUUUUUGAUUUGUUGGUUCAUAUAUUUUUAAAAUUUGUUUUAUUAAGCGGCAAACAAUAUCUUUUUAUUUUCAUGUUAAAAAAUCAUAAUACCUAAAAUAUAUUUAUAAUAUUGACAUAUUUUUUUACAUUAAUUCAUGUAUUAAAUUGAUUUAUGGCAGCUUCCAAUGCUACUUAACUUGUUACUCCACCUUUAACUUAAACUUCCAUUACCUCUUCUUUUUUUUCAUAUAUAAUGACAGAAAAAUGUGAGAAAAAAAACUGAAAAAUUAAAACGAGAAAAAUAAUAAUUUAAAAAAGCUCUAACAUGGCAAGCACAUACAACCUCCACCAUGUCUCUCUCUCUCUUUCUUUUUCUUUCUUUCUUUCCUAAAACUAACCCAGUUGUUUUUCUGUCGAACCGAAAACAACAAUCAAAAACCACAAUAGCCCAGGAAAACCCCAAAACCCAUUUGAUAUUCAUCAAAGAAUAAUCCAGCUGUGAUUGGAGCAGAUCUGUUGUGAGAUGAAAAAUAGAAUUAUGCUUGUGUUGAUUUUCCUUUACUAGUGGUUGUGAGUUGCAGAGACAAUAUAAUGAUCCAUGCUUGCUUUAUCAUCCUUUAAUUGAAUUCAAGUUACCUGGUGACUGGUGUAGAGAAGCAUUGGUUAAGAUGAGCAAGUAAUUUGAGAUUAUGGGAACGUGUGGCCAGAAAUCAUGCAAGUUUUUAUUUUUCAGUUUUGCUGAUUUUCGAACAGCAUAAACCAAAUCAAAAUCGAGUCAAAACAAAUUAAUUUAAACCGGUUUCUGUAAAUUAAUACGGUUCUUUUUUUUUAAGUUAAAAUGUGUACGCCGACUUCCUUCAUUGCCUUCAAUCUAUUGUCAUAAAACCUGUUGAAACUUGAAGAAUCUUAUUUGUUUCUCAGAUCAUCGGAUUUGAUCUAAUGAGAAGAAGAUUCUUGAAACAAUUUUGAUUAUUUUCAAUACCGAAAUCACUGCAACUUUUCCAGCUCACCUGUUGAAUCGGAACGAAGAAGACGAGCACGACUGUUUCACCCAGCAACGGUGUUGUUUUGGCAUAAAUGAAUAUUUUCAUUUUGGUCCCUGGACUUUUGCAAUUUCACAUUUGGAUCUCAAAUAAUCAAAUAUUUCUUUUAAGUUUGCCCUCAGAUUAAUUUCAAUUGAAUCCUUAAGUUAUAGCGCUAUUUACACAACAAUCCUGGAUUUUUAUAUUAUUCAAUUUGGUCCUUAAACUUUAAUUUCCUGCAAUCCUGCCUUAAUCAGCUUCAAACUUUGUUAUUUCUUCAAUUAAGUUCCUGAUUUUUUUAAUUAAUUAAAUAAAAAUUUAAUUAAUUUUGCAAACUUAUUAAUUCUUUAAUUAAACUCAUGAUUUCAUUAAUUAAACUAAUCCAAAUUUUAAUUAAAUUCUCAAACUUAUUAAUUCUUCAAUUUUUAAUCAAUUGACUCUCAAAUUUGAUAAUUUUAUUCCUGAAUUUCGAGUUUGUGUUGUUUUAAUUUCAUUCUCAAAUAUAUUUUAUGACAGUUGAUAAUAAACUAAAUGUUCCCAAAAUCAAUCAUGUCUGAGAGCAAGUAAUUUACAGUGUCAAAAUUUGAUAUGCAAUCUCUUAAUGUUGAUACUUGUUCUUCUCUCACUAUGUACCAUGUUAUGUUUUGCACAAAUCAAUGUGCAGAGACGAUGAGAAACCAUAAAGCAACAUUUUAUCAUACUUUUUUUAUCUUUUUUUUUUAUCAUACUUGUUCAAAAGGAUAGAAGGGAUAGAGUUCAUAAUUUCUAACAGGAAAAGUGCAUCAAUGGCAUUUUACUGUUGUGUUCAUACUUCAUAUACAGCGAAACCCCAUUUUGUUUUAGUAUAUGAACAGUGAAACCCAUUUUGUUUCUUGCAUUUUCUUCAUUGAAUUUCUUAAUCUCAAUUUCACCCUCUUAAAUUAUAUUAGCAUGGUUUUGUAUGUUAAUAUUUCUUUCAAUUUGUAUUUUUUUUACACAUUAAAAAGUGUCUAGAGGUAUUUCGAGGAUGUUUUGGAUAUGAAUUAAAUACCAAUCUUGCAAAAUAAAUCUUUAUUUAUAGUUAAAUAUAGAAAUUAAAAGAAGAAGGAUAAAAUUUCACAAAAACAAAUCCCAUUUAGAUAUUGGCAUAGAAAGUUAUAUUUGCUCUAUAGUUUUUAAUUAAUCUAUUGUUUGAUCCCUGUUAUUUUAGCAUUUCAAAUUUUUAUCUCAAACUUAAUUUGUUUUCUGUUUUAGUGUUUGAACGUUGAAAGAAGAUAGAUAAAAUCACUAAAAGAUAUUAAACAUGGACAUUCAUGUCACCAAAAAAGGUUAUCAUGGUGUCCAUUUGUUUUUUGUUUUUUUAGAAAAAUUUCAUGAGGGUGGUGCUUUCCUCUAAUCAUGCUAAAAAAAGUAGAUUGAGAUUGUUGAUGUUUUUUUUAUUUGUUUAAUUUUUAUUUUUUUUAGAGAGAUUAAAAGUUGGUUUUCAAUGGUUUUUAGAAUAUUUUUCAAGUGAAAAGGGGGUUAAGAAAUAGAUUUUUGGAUCCAGUCUAAACUUUAAUUUUUCAACAACUAGAAGUAAGUAGAGACUGGUAUAAAAGAUGAAAUGUCAUCUAUCUUAAUAAACAAAUUAUCAUUCGUUUACAAGAAAAUAAUUGGCGUAGAUGAUAUUGUUUAAAACUAAAAAAAAAAAAGUUUUUGAAUCUAGGCUAUAAGGUCCUAGCAAAGUAUGCGGCUUGACCUUUGUUUUUAAUUUUAAUUAAUGUUUGUAUUUAAAUUUUAAUAACUAUCUUAUUUUUUAUUUUUUAAAAUUUUUGGUUAACCUUUUUUAAUAUUAAUUAAUUUUUUUAAUAUAUUUUUUAAAAAUUUAUUAUGCUUCAAAGAGAUUAUUCUAAUUUUUAUUUAAUUUUUUUCAAUUUUCAUUUUAUAUUUUAAUAUAUUUAUAAAUAUUGACACCUUUUCUUACAUCAAAAUGUAACUUAGACUCCUUCUAAGACUAAUUAUAUUAGCUUAAUUUUAGAAACUUGUGUGAUGACUUUUCCAUACAUUAAUUAAUCUUUGAUUGCACAUCUUAGGUUAUGAAUUUUUUUAUAUUGUGGUUUGCGCGGUAUUUAUAAAAUCAAUGGUAAGUUUGUUGAUUAAAAAAAUUUGUUUUUUCAGUUCUAAGAUUCAUAUCUUAGAAAAAAUUUAUUCUUUCGUAUUGUUAUUCUCAAGUGUUAAAAAAUAAUUUAAAAAUUUACACAGAAUAUAGUUGAGAAGAACCCUAAGCAUGCACUUGUAGCAGUCACAUGUCAAAAGAUCAGUUAGACUUGAUUAUGCAUCUGAUCAUUUUGAGCUGAAAAUUCUUCAAUAAGUUAACAGUCAUAAGGAUCUAUCCAAAGAUACAAAUUGUCAAGAGAGAGAGAGAGAGAGGCAUUCAUAUCUUAGAUUCAAUGGUAAGUUUGUUGAUUAAAAAAAUUUGUUUUUUCAGUUCUAAGAUUCAUAUCUUAGAAAAAUUUUAUUCUUUCGUAUUGUUAUUCUCAAAUGUUAAAAAAUAAUUUAAAAAUUUACACAGAAUAUAGUUGAGAAGAACCCUAAGCAUGCACUUGUAGCAGUCAUAUGUCAAAAGAUCAGUUAGACUUGAAUAUGCAUCAUCUCAUUUUGAGCUGAAAAUUCUUGAAAAAGUUAACAGUCAUAAGGAUCGAUCCAAAGAUACAAAUUGUCAAAAAAGAGAGAGAAGCAUUCAUUGAAGUACAUUCCUUUAAUUAAUUCAUCCAUCCAUGCUUUGACAAAGUCGGUGGGCUGUGGGACCAUUCUUUUCAGCCUUUUGUUCUCAUCACCCGACACAUAUCCACGUGCUUAGUUCCUAUUGAUUCACACUUCUGCUUUACCCCUACAUCCUCCCCUCUCUCUUUUUAUUUUUUUUGACUUCUCACUUCAGGUCUCCGCCGGAGACCUGAAGUGAGAAGUCAAAAAAAAUAAAAAGAGAGAGGGGGUCUGAAAGAAAGACCUCCUCCACUCUCGUAAAAGACCAAAAAAAUAUGAUGGUGGGCGGAGGGCUGACGACAGUGGAAGUGCAGACGGACGGACGUGAGGCAGUGAGAGGUUGAGUUUAUCUGCGAUCUCUUUAACAAUCGACUCUAUGAACUUUGACUCAUACCUGCAAAACACAUUCAUACAAAUUAAAUCACGGAUUAAUUUGCUAAUUCCUCAUCAGAUCAACAUAGAAGAAGAAGACGAAGAAGAAGAGACAUAUACAGCAAAAAAAAUCAGCUUGGAAUACAUCGAUGCAGAUGGGUGGAUGCUGAAUUGACAAAUUAAGAAACACGACCACACUUGUACAAUAUCCUCUGCGGAUCUAGAAUUGUUCAGGUUGAACUUCUUAAACUGCAAAGAUUCUGGUCUUCUUCCCAGACUUGCUUGACCUCGCUAGAUCGGUCAGCUUCAAGCUCAAAAAGGGUUCCGAUCAAAAUUUAAUUACAAGGCAAACAUCUCAGAGACAUCCAUCCCUAUGUAAAUAUCUCAUCUACUCAGAAAAGGGACUUUGUUCUUGAGGGAGGUCCAUGUUUGCAAAGACUAUUAUAGAUCUUAAUAUUAUUUUUCUACUAUUUUUUCAAAAGUCCAUGAAUUAUUUUUCAUUAAACAUGGAACAAAAAGGCUCCAUUGCAUGUGUCAUUUCAUUUGUCAACAUGCAUGAAUCCUAGGAAGUUAUCCUUGACAAUCAAAAAACACAACAACGUACUGCUGCAUAACCUUUUAACAUGAUGAUUAAGGCAGCUCGAACCAAGAACAAAUCAAAUUGUGAACAAAUUAAGUUCCUGAGAGAAUGCUUUGUAGUUUGCCCGAGUGAUAAAAAGAUGACCUACGUUUCCAUGAAUCAUCUUGUUUUUACCAAGUAAAAAAAUGACAGUUUCUGAAAUUAAGCACAGCUAACUAAUUGAAUAAGCUCGUGUUUUUACUACAAGCACAGAUAAGCUGAUGUAUUAUCAUUCGUGGAUGCUGUCGUGGGGUAUUUAAAGGUGCUCUGUAGCUUGAAAGUCAUUUUUUAGCUGUUGUUUCAGUUUGUUCUAGUUUUUAUGGCUGUCUUUAUGCAACUUAACCAGACUAUAUAUGAUGAAUAUCAAAUGUCCAGCAUGAGGUGAUACCAUGAUUUCUAGUGCUGGUGUUUGUGUGGAUAUACCAUCAGAAAUUUCCAAUGCAAUCCUAAGAGUAGGAUUGAAAUCUGCUUGGUCGGUCUUUUUUUAAAGAACAUGAAAAACAAAAAUAAUUACAUUUGAAUUGAGGCUAAUUAACGAACCAGCCCUUGUUUAUCAUCCUCAGAUCCCGUUACUGUUUAAAUAACUUGUAAGUUGAAUGGCCAUGAUAGUUAAGUUUGGGUAAACAUGUCAUACAAUUAUCACUAAUUUAGAGAUGCUGAAGCAAGCAAGAAGAAUUCCAUGCAUGUGUUUCGAAGAUGCCUAAUGAAUCGAGAGACAAUACUACAGUAGCAAUUGAUUCACAGGCUCAUCGCUACUUCAAUUGGUUUAGGAGGGAGAGUUCUACAUCGACCAGUGCACUUAUGCAGAACACCUUUGUUUUUUCUUUCUUUGAAAAAGACACAGAAACGUUUGUGAUUAUAGCUUCAGUAAAGAAAUCAAGGCAGAGUUAGGUUUCUUUCGUUUAUUUUUUGGCAUUUCUAGAAUGGCUUCAAUGUUUUUGCUUCACGAAAUGAAAAGGGUUAUCAAAACAUCCUUUCCCUAUACGUCAUAUCAAACACAGCCACAGGUUCUGGACAUAAAACAGACAGAUAACUGAGAUUACUAGCAGUCUAGCACUAUGACAAUUGAAGUUCAAGGCAUCGUUUUCAAUGUGUUGGUACCAACUGCAUGCUUUUUAUUAACAUUUGAACAGUUAGAGAGAUUAAGAGAUGGGAAAUCUUUAAAAAAAUCUACUCGGAAGACAGAUAAGGCAUGUGCAGUUUCUUGGAUCCAAAUCAAUGAGCUUGUCUCGAUAUUGAAUCGGUGAAGUACCCUUGACCAUAUUAAAUUUGCACAACAAAAUUGAAGCUUCAAUCUCUCAAGGUUAAUUUAUAGCCUUUGUAAAAAUCUGGCAUAGAUAGGUGCUCACAAUUGCUAAGGCUUGCAUAUUUUAAAUCGAUAAGAUUCUUGUUUCCUCUCUAAAUUAUAGCGUCUUGUAGUUAUCAUAAAGAACCAAAAACAAUUAUUCAUCCCAAUGCAGUAUCUCAUCUCCUAUGAAAGGAACUUGACGCCAGCCAUGAGGAAGGAUCACUUUUCAGUUAUUUUUAACACCAGAAUUAUAAAUCCUGAGCAAUCUAAGUUUGGAUUUCCUUGCAAAGAUUCUGGAAUUUAAUUUACUUUCAAAAAUAAUUUUUGAAAUGUCCAUCAACAUCCCUUCAAUGUCAUCGUUUAUCUAGUAAGUUGCAAGAUUUCUUUCAUUCUCGUCAAACUCUUUUCCCCUAGGAUAGUUGGCAAUCACGGUUCCAGGUAAUUGAAUGUCUUCUCACAUGUUAACUAGCAAGAAAAAACAACCCCCUAGCUAUGUGGCUCAACCGUGAUGUUCGAGUAUGGAAUGAUCAAGGUCAAAUCAAGUAUUCCUAAAUGCUUAGCUGAUUCAAAAAUAUAAGCUAUCGAUGCAGUAAAUUUCGAAGAAAAAAAGAAGUUAGUACCCGUCUUCUAAGACCAUUCCUUCCAUGUAUACAACUUCUUUAAGAGCCUUCCUCCACCCCUCCACCCGGUCCUUGAAAUGUAUCUCAUGCUUAGCAAACUCUUCACCAUAUCUCCCUGUUUGGGUCCCCACCUCAGAUGGAUCAACAUCGUAGAAAACUGGAAACACUAUGUGCCCAACAGUUCUUCUACGUUCCAUGAUCAUCUCUAGCUCGUCAAGACACCAUCUCGAAGAAGCGUACUCUUUAGAAAACACAAUAAUGGAUAGUUUUGUUUCGUUAAUUGCUUUCUUGAUUUCUAACUCAAUGUUCUCUCCUCUCCGUAUUCCAUCGUCGUCUCUGAAAGUGGGAAUCCCUUCUCUAGAUAACGCUUUGUACAGGUGGUCGGUAAAGUUCCUGCGGGUGUCUUCGCCUCGGAAACUCAAGAACACAUCGUAAGUACUAGGCAUCACCGAGAGAAGAAACAAGAUUUGGAUCACUGGGUUGAAAGGCAUCGGUUUGACGAAGAGAAAUAUGUGGAAAGAAACAAAGAUUUUUGUGUUGGAAGAGAUGCAGAUCUCACUUGAUUUUUUUAUUGGAAGAAAGAAGAAAGGCCAAAGGUUGGGGUUUUUUUUUUUAAUCUGUUUAGGAAGUUUCUUCGUUCAUGUGCUCGGAUAUGUUUGGCUGUAAAAAUAUUUAUGUUUUUUAUUUUAUAAUUUGUUUUUUUUAUGUAUGCUUUCGUGUAUGCACUAUGAAAAAUAUUGCUUUUUUAAUGUAUGUAUGUAUGUAUGUAUAUGUAUGUAUGGAUGUAUGGAUGUAUGGAUGUAUUACUUUUUCAUUGCAUUACAUAUUUCUAUUACGAAAUACCAUUAUUUAUAAGGUUGAAUUAAAAACAAUCAAAGAAAAAGGAUUAGAUUGACAUACAAAAUAAUUAAAAAAGUUGCUUUUUUUGGUAGCGUUCAUGGGGAGCUUUUUCUACAUUGUGGUCCCUAUUAUUCAUUUAUAUGUAUGAUCAGUCCUAGGGAUUACUCCUUGACAAUCAAUAAACACAGCAAGAAAGUGCUGCGCAACCUUUGGAACCAAGAACAAAUCAAAUCUGGUAUUGAAAGGCUAAGGCUGACCCAUUUUAAACCGAUAAGAUUCGUGUUUCCUUUCUAGAUGAUAGCUAGGUUAGAUUAUCCAGAAAAAAAAUGGAAGGCAAAGAUCUGAAAAGGUAAAACAAUUAUUCAAUUACUUGUAUACCUGUCUUGCUGCAGCACCAUUCCUGCCAGGUCUGCGGCUUCUUUAAGAGAGGCCCUCCAACUUUGCACUCUAGCCAUUUCCUUAUGGAAGCUUUUUUCGUGUUUAGCAAAUGCUUCUUCAAACAACCCUUUCUGUUCACUGACCUCCGACGGAUCAACGUUGUAAAAAACGGGAAGCACAAGGAGCCCAUUUUUAUCCCUGGCAUCCAUGAUGUGCACAAGCUGGUCCAGGCACUUUGUUGAAGAAGCAUAGUCUUUAGAGAACACAACAACCGAUAUCAUGGAUUCCUGUAUCGCUUUCUUGAUAUCAGACUUUUGUCCUGCGUAGAUUCCACCAUCAUCUCUAAGAGUGCGAAUCCCAGCAGAAUUGAGUUCGUUGUAGAGAUGAUCGCCAAAAUUCUUGCCAAUGUCGUGGUGGCUAAAACUCAAGAAAACAUCGUUAUCCUUUCUGGAGAGGAGAAGCAUCAACAGAUUGAUAAGUGAGAACAAACCCAUUGGACUAGUUGGUGAAUAAAAAAUGCCGAAACUAAACUGUAGUAUGAGAAAGAUGGAAGUUUCCGAUGGAAUGGGUGAAACGGCAACGACGGGAGGAUUUUCAGGGCACCCGGAAGGGAAGAAAGAAAACAACUGUUCAGGUUCCCAAAUUUGACCCGUUUGGUUCACUAAUAAUGACCAGCCAUCAAUAUUGACCAAAGUGCUUCUUCUAUUUUUAUGUGUCUCCUUUUUUAAUUUUGAUGAGCGCUAAUUCUGUACAUCUGAACGUGCUUUGUUUUAUUUUAAAAAAGAAUCAUUCUUCAAUGGUUUUGUUUGUUUUUUUGAUUUUUUUGAAUUCCAUUCUCUAAUUAGGAAUUAAUUUUGUAAUUUAAUUUAAUUUUUAUAAAGGUAUUUCUAAUCAUGGAUUUUCUAGAGUUUUAAGUGAUUAAAUGGUGUUUUUGUUUGAAAAUAGAUUUUAUGAGGUUUUAUGAUUAUUUUUUUAAGUUUUGCAGGUGAAAAUGAAAAUUGAGUUUUAAAAUCCCAUUGGAGUGGCUGAUGAGUAAGAAAUGCCGAAACGAUGCUAACAGGGAGACACGAAACGAUGCGAAGACUUUUCAGGUUGUGAUCCGCCAACUGCUGGUAACUAAAAGUGGAAGAAAGAGAACGAGGCGAGGUCAUGAACCCUAUUGCGAGAGGGACGCCUCGUGGCCCAGAUUUGAUAUGUUUGGUCCAUUUCUGUCGGUCCAAUUAAUAUUGAUCUAGACUUGGGUUUCUUUUGAAGAAACAGGGCCUGAUAGUCCAUCAAGCGGAAAAUCAAAACCUAGAUCAACAGUCUCUUUUUGUAUUCAUUGUCACUUUAGGUUUCAACGGUGAUUAAAAAAACAAAAUUGGUUAUUGAAUUUAUUUAUUUUUGGUACAGUUAAACCUCUAUUUUUUUUCAGCAUCAAUUAACAUCCAAUUGCAUAUUCUAUAGAUGUGUUUGGAAGAUGCCUAGUGAAUGGAGAGACAAUACAACAAUAGUAAUUAAGACACUUGCUCAUCUCUACUUCAAUUGGAUUAGGAAAGAAUUGUACAAUGACUAGUACACUUAUGUAGACUACUUUUAUCUUUUUUAUCUUUUUUUUUUUUGAAAGGGACACAACGCUGUUUGUAAUUAUAGUUUCAGUAAUGAAAUCAAGGCAGAGUUAGGUUUCAGUAACGAGAUUACUAACAGUCUAGCACCAUGACUAUUGAAGUUAAGGCUUGUAACCAAAUCGAAAAGAAAACAAAAUUGCAGUUUCCUCAAAAUUUCUUAUCAAAUAUCUUAGAGAUUUAUUUCAUCGGCAUAUUUUUAGCAGGAAUUUGUUUUUUACAUGCAUUUUUCAUCUAUAAAACCAUCAGUUUUUAAUUUAUUUAUUUUAUCAAUAAAAUUAGCGAUAAAUAAUAGAAUUAAUGAUAAAUGUUAUACCAACAAACGCAUUCCAUCAAUGAAUUAAGAGGUAAAAUUUUCACUGACGGAGUGGUAAUCUCACACCAUUAAAAAAAAAAUUGUCGAAAAAAUUAUUAAAUGUUGUGGUGUUUCCAUUGUUUUCUAUCAUCACGAGGUCUCUUUUCUUUGUGAAAACCAAUGACCUUAGGUAUAAGAAGUGAAGCUGCUACACACACCAGAGUCUACGAUUGGCUUCAUUUCCAUCACAGGUUUCCUAAAAUAAAUUCCAGCCCCAAAACUAGUGUAAAGCUUCAUUACAGGCAUCCUCAUUUCUUAAACAUGAAAUAUAUAACCAGUCAUUUCAACAUAAUUUCCACAAUAAUAUGCCAAGUUGAGAUUUCAACUUACCAGAAAAUUCAAUCUAAUGUAAAAUUCUUUCCCACUAACAACCACAAAAGCACGGAAAGCAGAAACGAUGCACAGAUGUCCUCGCAAAAUGCAUGUAUUAUAGAAUAAGUUUAUUGUUUCAUAUUUCAUAGCAGAUAAGAAGCAGCAAACAGGCGGGGAUAGCUCAGUUGGGAGAGCGUCAGACUGAAGAUCUGAAGGUCGCGUGUUCGAUCCACGCUCACCGCAUUUCUCUCUUUUUUUAUUUAUAGUCCAUUUGCGGCAGCGUGCAUGCUUUUUCAUCGUGAAAGUUUUCUGUAUAAACACAGCAUCUCGCAACUGUGAAUCAGGUCUAUUUCAGUAUAAAAAAUUAAUUUUUAAUUUUAAUUUUAAUUGUAUUUUAUUUAAAAAAUUAGUGUUUAACAUUAUUUAAUAACACUACAUAAAUUAAAAGAAAAUCGUUUCAUGACGUAGCAUUUGUUUCAUGAUAUAACAGUAAUAGUUAAAUCUAUAAUAUUUAAAUUAAAAACUAUCAAUAUUAAUAUAUAUAUAUAUAUAUAUCUUUUUUAGUUAUUUUAUAAUAUUAAUUUGAAAAACAUUCUUACCGAAAUACAUUAAAUUAUUUUUUAUUCAAUCUCAAUUUUAAUCACAGUUUUAACCAAAUAUAUAUAAAUAUCAAACAAACCUCAACCAAAAUUAUUUUUUAUAAAACAUUUUUUUUCAAAUUAUAAACAUAAAAACUAAAUCAAUACCAAACACACGUUUGUUAAUGACGCCUUUUCACGCUAGUUUCAGUUCGCGAAUCUCUCUUCUGUUCGGUAUUGUUUUAGUAGUCUCCUAAACCCGAGCAGUUAGCUUCAACUUCAAGUGUGAGAGGCAGCAAAAGGUAGAAGAACUAAGCAAGAGAAAAACGACUGCAAAAAUGGAAGGGAAAGUCUCGGGAAGUUUCCUUUUCUUUUUUAUAGUCGAUAUUCUGUCAGAUGCUUUUUCUAUUUUAUUUUCCAUGGUUGGGCGGUGCCUAGCUGCAUUCUAUUUUUGACUCUGGAGGGUUAGCUUCAACAGUGUGAACCAUCAGAAGGUGGUAGAACCCAGCAAGAGCAAAAAGAGCGCUGCAAAAUGGAAGAGAAAGUCUUGGGCUGAAGGUCUCAGGAAGUUUCCUUCUUUCUUUUUUUUGUUAAGGUAUAUUGUAUUAUAUAAUUUUUUUUAUUUUUAAUAUCAAUAUAUUAAAAAAAAAAUUAAUUUAAUGUAUUUUUAAAACAUAAUCAAACAUAAUUACAAAUAUAGAAAUAAAAAAUAAUAUACUCUUAUUUGAUAAAAAAACAAAAAUUAAAUGAUUGGGAAAGUAUAAUUAUGAAUGCGAUUAAACUUGUUUAAAAUCAUUUUCGCAAAAUCUUCUUAAAAAUAAAAAAUAUAGUUGCAUAUUAAAUAUCAAAUACCAUUUUUAUCCUCUACAAUUUUUUAAGAGCAUCACACUUUUGUUUGCCCGGUCUGUGGGCCAAGCUUGGUUGUAUGUGAUCUGCGCAUGGUUGCGGUAACUUGGGCUGGAUUGGGCUCUCUAUGUGGCCUCGCUUGGUUUUAUUGCUCAACAUCCGGGCCGAAAUCCGUUGUAUUCAAGUUAAAUAAAGUUGAGGUUGAGCCCUUUAACGAAUGAUAUAGAUUUCCUCAAGCAAUUAUAUAUUUUAUGCUUUUAAAAUAUUUAGAAAAAUAGGUACUUCCAGUUAUUAGUAGUUCUUUCCGUUCACAUAAAAAAAAUUAUAAUACCGUGCCAUUUGGUUAGACAUUAAAGAAAGAGAUGGUCAUGAAUAUGUUUAGUUAAAAGAAUAUAGAAAGAAACGUGAUAAUAAAUAUAUUAUGAAAUAAUUUAAAAUUAAUUUUUUCUAUUUUUAAAAUAAAAUAUAUAUGAAGAUAUGUUUUUAAAUAUAAUAUUUUUUAUUUUUUUAUCUUUAAAAUACCGUUGUAAAAAAAAAUUUAAUUCCAACUGAAAUAUAUAAUAAUAAAAAUUAAUUAUUAUCAUAAUUUUAAAAUUUGACAUAAUGGUUGAACCAAGUCAUUGAUCAAAAAGGUUAACUUUGGAUAACCCUAAUUUUUUUAAAACAAAUGAUCAAAACGAUGUUAUUUUGAUCAAAUAAUUUUGUUCAAAAAAAAGUGAAGGGUUUUUUACUUGGGUUUAUCUCAAGUCAUAGGUCAACUUGGGUUUAGGUUUUGACCAGAUCAAGUCGGGUCAAUCAUUUCUUUAUUUUUUCUUAAACUCAUACUGGUUUAAACUUUGGGUCAGCCGAGUCCUAGUUUGACACAUGGAGCCGAUUUGAGUUUUAUAACUAAAGCUAUCAUACUAUUACUAAUUUUAACUUUAAAUAUAAACUAAAAAAAUUAUAAUACUAUCUAAUUAUCUUUUUAAAAUAUGUAUUUUGACAAUAAUACAUAUUAAAAAUAAAAUAAACUUUUUAUAUUUUAUUAUAUCUUAUCUACGAUCAACAAAACAAGAUAUAAAAACAGUUUUAUACACUAUUAUCAAAUAUAAUUUUAUAUGUCUCUUGUUUUUUUGUCUUGUCUCCUCUAUUAUUAUUAUCUCUUUCUUUUUUGUUCCGGGAUAAUAAUCAAACACUAUUCUACUGCCUUCUACAUCUUAGUAGUAGUGUUGUCAAUUCUUCCAAUAAAAUUUUUAAUAUUAAUUUUCUAUAUAUUAUAAAUAAUCUAAGUCUAACUUAACUUCUCCAUAUCUAAAUUGUAGUAGUGUUUGAUUACUGUUUUUGAAAUAAAAGAGAUGGAGAUAAUGAAAAAGAUAUAUUUUUAUAUAUUUCUUGUUUUGAAAGUAAAUAUAUAAAUUCAUAUCAAAAUUGUCUUAAAAGUAGAUUUAUUUAUAUUUUUAUUCAUGUCUCUUCAAUUAAAUAUAUUUUUAUUUUUAUUAUAAAACACUAAAUAAAUAAAUAAAUAAAAACAUAUCCUCGAUUCUAUACAUUUUAGAUCCAUUUUAUUUUUAAAGACAUGACUAAUGCAAUAUUUUUUGGAAUGUACAAGAUAAAUAUAGAAGCCAUGAUAAAAUUGGUCAUCGGACAAUAAUUCCCUGGUCAACUUGGAAUUAUAAUUUAUUAAAAAAAAUAUGAUUUGAAAAAUAUAAUUUAUGUAGAAGAAAGCAUUUAUUUCACCUCAUGGAAAUAUUUUCAAAAAAUACCACUCACAAAUCACAAACUCUCACGAACACCAUAUAUUGCAUCCGUAUAUCAUUAGAUAGCUCUAGCAUACUUCAAAGUAAAAAUAUAUUUGAACUCAUAGGUCUGAGUUUGUUCGAGUUAGUCACUCAGAUCUAUUUAAGAUCUAUUCUGAUAUAUACCUCGCAUAUCAAUAAUUGAUACAGUUUAAUACAAUUAUAUUGUAAAAGUUUCUUGUAAAGAAAGAUGGAGAGUAAUGAAUUAUGCAAUAAAAGAUGUGGGGGUCUUAGCUGGCUAUAUAAAGUGAUGUGAUCAUUCAUAAUCAGAGAAAGUAGUUGCUUAUGUUGACUGGUAUGAUUCAACAUUUUCAAGCAUUACUUGAAUCAAUGCAGAAGAGGAAGUAAGCGAUUUCUUAAUUGCAACUAAUUAUUGAAUUCAUUUUUGGCAUUUUCCACAGGUGCUCAUUUUGAGCUGAAAAUUCUUGAAAAAGUUUUUGAAUAUUUUCAGUACCAUUCAUACAAAUAGUAAAAAAAAAAGAGAGAAGCAUUCAUUGAAAUACAAUCCUUUAAUUAAUUCAUCCAUCCAUGCUUUGACAGAGUCGGUGGGCUGUCGCAGAUGCUGUGGGACCUUCCUUUUCAGCCUUUUGUUCUCAUCAGCCGACAGAUAUCCACGUGCUUAGUUCCUAUUGUUUCACACUUCUGCUUUACCCCGACAUCCCCCCUCUCUCUUUUGCAUGAUUAGAGAGAACUGAGAAGUCAAAAAAAAUAAAAAGAGAGAGGGGGUCUGAAAGGAAGACCCUCCUUCACUCUCGUAAAAGACCAAAAAAAUAUGAAGGUGGGCGGAGGGCUGACGACAGUGGAAGUGCAGACGGAGGGACGUGAGGCAGUGAGAGGUUGAGUUUAUCUGCGAUCUCUUUAACAAUCGACUCUAUGAACUUUGACUCAUACCUGCAAAACACACAUUCAUACAAAUUAAAUCACGGAUUAAUUUGCUAAUUCCUCAUCAGAUCAACAUAGAAGAAGAAGAAGAAGAGACAUAUACAGCAAAAAAAAUCAGCUUGGAAUACAUCGAUGCAGAUGGGUGGAUGCUGAAUUGACAAAUUAAGAAACACGACCACACUUGUACAAUAUCCACGUCUCAAGGUUUCUUCUAUCCUCUGCAGAUCUAGAAUUGUUAAGGUUGAACUUCUUAGAGAUGCUGAAGCAAGCAAGAAGAAUUCCAUGCACGUGUUUCGAAGAUGCCUAAUGAAUCGAGAGACAAUACUGCAGUAGCAAUUGAUUCACAGGCUCAUCGCUACUUCAAUUGGUUUAGGAGGGAGAGUUCUACAUCGACCAGUGCACUUAUGCAGAACACCUUUGUUUUUUCUUUCUUUGAAAAAGACACAGAAACGUUUGUGAUUAUAGCUUCAGUAAUGAAAUCAAGGCAGAGUUGGGUUUCUUUCGUUUAUUUUUUGGCAUUUCUAGAAUGGCUUCAAUGUUUUUGCUUCACGAAAUGAAAAGGGUUAUCAAAACAUCCUUUCCCUAUACGUCAUAUCAAACACGGCCACAGGUUGUGGACAUAAAACAGACAGUUAACUGAGAUUACUAGCAGUCUAGCACCAUGACAAUUGAAGUUCAAGGCAUCGUUUUCAAUAUGUUGGUACCAACUGCAUGCUUUUUAUUGACAUUUGAACAAUUAGAGAGAUUAAGAAAAUCAAUAAGGCAUGUGCAGUUUCUUGGAUCCAAAUCAAUAAGCUUGUCUCGAUAUUGAAUCGGUGAAGUAACCUUGACCAUAUUAAACUUGCACAACAAAAUUGAAGCUUCAAUCUCACAAGGUUAAUUUAUAGCCUUUGUAAAAAUCUGGCAUAGAUAGGUGCUCACAAUUGCUAAGGCUUGCAUAUUUUAAAUCGACAAGAUUCUUGUUUCCUCUCUAAAUGAUAGCGUCUUGUAGUUAUCAUAAAGAACCAAAAACAAUUAUUCAUCCCAAUGCAGCAGCUCAUCUCCUAUGAAAGGAACUUGACGCCAGCCAUGAGGAAGGUGCACUUUUCAGUUAUUUUUAACACCAGAGUUAUAAAUCCUGAGCAAUCUAAGUUUGGAUUUCCUCGCAAAGAUUCCGGAAUUUAAUUUACUUUCAAAAAUAAUUUUUGAAAUGUCCAUCAACAUCCCUUCAAUGUCAUCGUUUAUCUAGUAAGUUGCAAGAUUUCUUUCAUUCUCGUCAAACUCUUUUCCCCUAGGAUAGUUGGCAAUCACGGUUCCAGGUAAUUGAAUGUCUUCUCACAUGUUAACUAGCAAGAAAAAACAACCCCCUAGCUAUGUGGCUCAACCGUGAUGUUCGAGUAUGGAAUGAUCAAGGUCAAAUCAAGUAUUCCUAAAUGCUUAGCUGAUUCAAAAAUAUAAGCUAUCGAUGCAGUAUAUUUCGAAGAAAAAAAGAAGUUAGUACCCGUCUUCUAAGACCAUUCCUUCCAUGUAUACAACUUCUUUAAGAGCCUUCCUCCACCCCUCCACCCGGUCCUUGAAAUGUAUCUCAUACUUAGCAAACUCUUCACCAUAUCUCCCUGUUUGGUUCCCCACCUCAGAUGGAUCAACAUCGUAGAAAACUGGAAACACUAUGUGCCCAACAGUUCUUCUACGUUCCAUGAUCAUCUCUAGCUCGUCAAGACACCAUCUCGAAGAAGCGUACUCUUUAGAAAACACAAUAAUGGAUAGUUUUGUUUCGUUAAUUGCGCUCUUGAUUUCUAACUCAAUGUUCUCUCCUCUCCGUAUUCCAUCGUCGUCUCUGAAAGUGGGAAUCCCUUCUCUAGAUAACGCUUUGUACAGGUGGUCGGUGAAGUUCCUGCGAGUGUCUUCGCCUCGGAAACUCAAGAACACAUCGUAAGUACUAGGCAUCAACGAGAGAAGAAACAAGAUUUGGAUCACUGGGUUGAAAGGCAUCGGUUUGACGAAGAGAAAUAUGUGGAAAGAAACAAAGAUUUUUGUGUUGGAAGAGAUGCAGAUCUCACUUGAUUCUUUGUUGGAAGAAAGAAGAAAGAAGAAAGGCCAAAGGUUGGGUUUUUUUUUUUUAAUCUGUUUAGGAAGUUUCUUCGUUCAUGUGCUCGGAUAUGUUUGGCUGUAAAAAUAUUUAUGUUUUUUAUUUUAUAAUUUGUUUUUUAUGUAUGCUUUCGUGUAUGCACCAUGAAAGAUAUUGCUUUUUUAAUAUAUAUAUAUAUAUAUAUAUAUAUGUAUGUAUGU